rnacentral:lncRNA from 1 species
ACGAGCAAGGGACCGCUCCUACUCACCUUAGAUCCGCGGGACGGAAUCGGACUUCUAAAAAACCACUAAGGGAAAAAGGAAGAGGACUUCGGCUUGGGGUUUCUGGUUACCGCGAGGAACUUACCCGACCUCACGCUGCCGAGGUCGGAUCGGUAUAAGGAAAAAGAAAACAGCUUAAAGAGCCAAUUAAAAAAUAUCUGCAUUCAACAUUAAACAUUGCAUAUAUAUGUUACACGGCCCACCGGCCUCAACACCCACAAAAAGAAAAAUAAACUAAGAAUCCUACUGCCAUGUCUGCCCAGGUCCUUGAGCCCCGAGGGGGGGAAGCUCCGCCUCGUCGUCGAAGAAGGUGGCCAAGGCAUCUCCGGGGGCAGCCACGGCGUCCUCAAGCCUCUGCACCUCCUCCUGGGCCUCAGUCUCAUCAUCCGGGAGAACGUAGCCCUCACAGACUGCCGGCAAAUCAAUGCCGGCAUAGUGAGAGCUCACCACCGCCAGGGCUUUCUUCACCCCGGCGUGGAGUGCCUCCCUCAUCCUCUCCCCGGCCCGGGAGUAAAGGGCUUCGACACGACUGCGCAACGACGAC